CCUACGGGAGGCAGCAGUGGGGAAUUUUGGACAAUGGGCGAAAGCCUGAUCCAGCAAUGCCGCGUGUGUGAUGAAGGCCUUCGGGUUGUAAAGCACUUUUGGCGGGAACGAAAAGGACUGUGCCAAUACCACGGUUUGAUGACGGUACCCGCAGAAUAAGCACCGGCUAACUACGUGCCAGCAGCCGCGGUAAUACGUAGGGUGCAAGCGUUAAUCGGAAUUACUGGGCGUAAAGAGUGCGCAGGCGGUUUUGCAAGACCGAUGUGAAAUCCCCGGGCUUAAUCUGGGAACUGCAUUGGUGACUGCAAGGCUAGAGUGUGUCAGAGGGAGGUGGAAUUCCGCAUGUAGCAGUGAAAUGCGUAGAUAUGCGGAGGAACACCGAUGGCGAAGGCAGCCUCCUGGGAUAACACUGACGCUCAUGCACGAAAGCGUGGGGAGCAAACAGGAUUAGAUACCCUGGUAGUCCACGCCCUAAACGAUGUCUACUAGUUGUCGGGGAUUAAUUUCCUUGGUAACGCAGCUAACGCGUGAAGUAGACCGCCCGGGGAGUACGGUCGCAAGAUUAAAACUCAAAGGAAUUGACGG
rnacentral:rRNA from 1 species